CCCAAAUGAAACUACUGCCCCUUUUAUCUUUUCCCUGCAACGCUAUUGAAGUCUUACUUCAUAUCGAUGAUUUUUUCUCCCUUUUGAAGUGACAUCGCUUUGUACUGACUUUCUACUAAAGAAGAUCAAAAUACAUAUAAAGAAGAGCCAAAGCCAUCAAGCUUGAGGCUCAGCGGAUCAGAACACGGUGGAUCCUCCUGAAAAAAGGGAACUCCAGGAGUGAAUUUCAGCAACCCUUCAGAGUAUCUUUCCAGCUGCGACACUCCGCCGACAUCGCUGAAUGUGCUCAGGCAGGCCCUAACACUGGCAUUAAGCUGCUGUCAGCUCACACUCACACGUAAGAGGAACAUUCUCAGAGGUCAAACGCCUGGCUAUAUUGCCUGUCAGACACCAACAGAGACCAUCACCAUGACAGGAGGAAAGAGAGGAGAAGCAGUGUUCAGUCUUGAUCCACAUGCUGAAAAUAUCACAGCACAAAAGGCGGCAGCAGCCACCUCCAACAGUGACAAAAAAAGGUAAAGGUUAAAAUGCCCUCCAUGCAGCAUCCCAGAAUGUUAGAGUAUCUUGUUUAUUCCCUACUGGUAUUCACGGAGAAUUCAAAGCCUCUGUUACAUCAGAUAAUUUGCCCUUUUCUGUUCUCCUGCCAUUUGGCCCCAUCAUUCUUGGCUGUCUUAUCUCUGAUGGUAAGGACCAGCGCCUUCUUCCUCCAUCUUACACCUUCUGUCUGACCUCCAUACAGAUCUGCCAUCAACCCAAAGGGAUAAAAUAUGUGCAUAAUUCCACAGUUUUCUCCAGAGAACACUGUGGACACAUGGUGAAGUAAACUUUAAAAGCUGGUAGGUUGAAACAUAUUGUUGAUUAUAUAGUGGUUUAAUGGCUGUUUAGUGUUGUAAUUAAUCAUGUUUUCAGAGAAUAGCCAUAUUUUUUCAUAAUGCUUUUUGAAGUUUUGCAUUUGACAAAGUUAAUGGAUAGAGCAAAAUUUUACUAAACUUGUCAGUUUUGCAAAAAAAAAAAAAAAAAGACGCUUACUAGAAGUGGUCACCAGUAAUGCCACUCGUUUUUGAUUAAGAUGUGAUUUCAUUUUUUUUUCUGUCUUCACCUCAAGACAGCAUAAGUCAUGUCCACUGCCAAGCUGAUAUGAAAGAAUAAAUACGACUUUCCUGAUUGUAAAAAGUUCCUUAAGAUUUUUUUCCCCAAAAUUUUCUCAUGGAGAUUUGAUUGUUUUUUACCAGUUAGCAAACAGCUGGUUCCUCUGCUCUCUUUAUUGCAGUCAUAUAUAACAAGAACUCUGGCCUGGUUUAUUUGGUCCAAAGCUGUUAACAGAGACAAGCCAAUCUUUUAUUUCUUUUUGCUUGUUGUCCUGCAACAUUUCAAACGUUUGCUUAAAAUUUGCUUGCCAACUAUAUGGAAACAUGCCUAAUCCAUCAA